AACGCUAGCUACAGGCUUAACACAUGCAAGUCGAGGGGCAGCACGGGAGUAGCAAUACAGCUGGUGGCGACCGGCGCACGGGUGAGUAACGCGUAUGCAACCUACCUAUCAGAGGGGAAUAACCCGGCGAAAGUCGGACUAAUACCGCAUAAAACAGGGGCACCGCAUGGUGAUAUUUGUUAAAGAAAUUCGCUGAUAGAUGGGCAUGCGUUCCAUUAGGUAGUUGGUGAGGUAACGGCUCACCAAGCCGACGAUGGAUAGGGGAACUGAGAGGUUGGUCCCCCACACUGGUACUGAGACACGGACCAGACUCCUACGGGAGGCAGCAGUGAGGAAUAUUGGUCAAUGGGCGGGAGCCUGAACCAGCCAAGUCGCGUGAAGGAAGAAGGAUCUAUGGUUCGUAAACUUCUUUUGCAGGGGAAUAAAGUGCAGGACGUGUCCUGUUUUGUAUGUACCCUGAGAAUAAGGAUCGGCUAACUCCGUGCCAGCAGCCGCGGUAAUACGGAGGAUCCGAGCGUUAUCCGGAUUUAUUGGGUUUAAAGGGUGCGUAGGUGGUUUGAUAAGUCAGCGGUGAAAGUUUGCAGCUUAACUGUAAAAAUGCCGUUGAAACUGUCGGACUUGAGUGUAAAUGAGGUAGGCGGAAUGCGUGGUGUAGCGGUGAAAUGCAUAGAUAUCACGAAGAACUCCGAUUG
rnacentral:rRNA from 1 species